rnacentral:rRNA from 1 species
GUGCAUGGUAGGCAGUUUGACUGGGGCGGUCUCCUCCCAAAGUGUAACGGAGGAGUACGAAGGUACGCUAGGUACGGUCGGAAAUCGUGCUGAUAGUGCAAUGGCAAAAGCGUGCUUAACUGCGAGACUGACAAGUCGAGCAGGUGCGAAAGCAGGUCAUAGUGAUCCGGUGGUUCUGUAUGGAAGGGCCAUCGCUCAACGGAUAAAAGGUACUCUGGGGAUAACAGGCUGAUACCGCCCAAGAGUUCAUAUCGACGGCGGUGUUUGGCACCUCGAUGUCGGCUCAUCUCAUCCUGGGGCUGUAGCCGGUCCCAAGGGUAUGGCUGUUCGCCAUUUAAAGAGGUACGUGAGCUGGGUUUAAAACGUCGUGAGACAGUUUGGUCCCUAUCUGCCGUGGGCGUUGGAAGUUUGAAGGGGGCUGCUCCUAGUACGAGAGGACCGGAGUGGACGAACCUCUGGUGUACCGGUUGUCACGCCAGUGGCAUCGCCGGGUAGCUAUGUUCGGAAGAGAUAACCGCUGAAAGCAUCUAAGCGGGAAACUCGCCUUAAGAUGAGACUUCCCUAGGAACUCGAUUCCUUUGAAGGGUCGUUCAAGACCAGGACGUUGAUAGGUCAGGUGUGGAAGCGCAGUAAUGCGUUAAGCUAACUGAUACUAAUUGCCCGUAAGGCUUGAUCCUAUAACC